GGAAACAAGAUGCUAAUACCGGAUAAUAACAGAUGAUGCCUAUCAACUGUUUAAAAGAUGGUUCUGCUAUCACUCUUGGAUGGACCUGCGGUGCAUUAGCUAGUUGGUAGGGUAACGGCCUACCAAGGCGAUGAUGCAUAGCCGAGUUGAGAGACUGAUCGGCCACAUUGGGACUGAGACACGGCCCAAACUCCUACGGGAGGCAGCAGUU
rnacentral:rRNA from 1 species